GGCAGCUAUAACUCCGAGGUGGACGGGGACGUCUCGCUCGUUCAACUUCCGAAUCCGGUUCAACAUCCACUCGAGGGCUCCACCUGGCGGGGCUGUCCAGGUGUGCUAUAUAGUUCGUCUUGGAGCCCUUGAAGUCAAACGAGCUGGAUUUUUGUCUGUGUCAGAAAUGGAUGCUGGAUGUUGAACGGGAUGCCAGGACGUCUCUGUCAGGGAUAGCCACUGCUCAACUGGAAUGCGGAAGUGUAACCAGAUCUGGAGACUGCCGGAAAGCCCCGAAAGCAAGAUUGUAAUUUUCUAUGAAUCACAUGAUGGAUGAACAUAUUGCCUGCAGCCUACUGUACAUGAGGGAGCGGGAUCUUUGCGUCACGUGCCUAGGGACAAGACCUGUGAACUACCUGCCCUCCAGGACACCUACAGCACCCGGUGUCACAGGAAUGCCAAAAAGAUCAUCAAGGACAACAACCACCUGAGCCACUGCCUGUUCACCCCGCUACCAUUCAGAAUGCGAGGUCAUUACAGGUGCAUCAAAGCUGGGACCGAGAGACUGAAAAAUAGCUUCUAUCUCAAGGUCAUCAGACUGUUAAACAGCCAUCACUAACACAGUGAGGCUGCUGCCUACAUACAGACUUGAAAUCAUUGGCCACUUUAAUAAAUGGAUCACUAGUCACUUUAAUAAUGCCACUUUAAUAAUGUUUACAUAUCUUG
rnacentral:lncRNA from 1 species